rnacentral:rRNA from 1 species
GAUGAACGCUGGCGGCGUGCUUAACACAUGCAAGUCGAACGGUGAAGCAGAGCUUGCUCUGUGGAUCAGUGGCGAACGGGUGAGUAACACGUGAGCAAUCUGCCCCUGACUCUGGGAUAAGCGCUGGAAACGGCGUCUAAUACCGGAUACGAGGCGUGGGGGCAUCCCCAACGCCUGGAAAGAACUUCGGUCCAGGAUGAGCUCGCGGCCUAUCAGGUAGUUGGUGAGGGAACGGCUCACCAAGCCUACGACGGGUAGCCGGCCUGAGAGGGUGACCGGCGACACUGGGACUGAGACACGGCCCAGACUCCUACGGGAGGCAGCAGUGGGGAAUAUUGCACAAUGGGCGCAAGCCUGAUGCAACAACGCCGCGUGAGGGACGACGGCCUUCGGGUUGUAAACCUCUUUUAGCAGGGAAGAAGCGAAAGUGACGGUACCUGCAGAAAAAGCACCGGCUAACUACGUGCCAGCAGCCGCCGUAA